CACUCUACCUGGCCUAUAUUUUUAUUCGACUAUAUCAGAUUGGGUACUUGAUGAAUCUGCAUGUUGAUCUUUGCUAGCGAUCACAGUGCCCAUGAUUGUUUUCCACCUCUAUAACUAUGUCUGUUACAUUUUCAGUUUAGAAAAAAAUUGAAAAAGGUAUAUUCACUCUACUCCAAUCAUAUUUUAACUGGACUGUAUAAAAUUGGCCGCUUGAUGAGUCUGCAUGUUGGUCUUUGCUAGAAAUCACACUACCCACAAUUGUUUUCUAUCUCUAUAACCAGCUCUGGUUGAUUUUAAUUUGAAAAGAAUAAGGAACCCGGGCAAAUAGCGAUUCAAUAGUGUCUGAUUAUGUUUUGGGAUUGGGUCGGUACAUUUUGAAAUGCAUAGGGUGCCUUGGAGGUGAAUUGUGUUCUGCAUGUCAAGUGUGAUUGUAUGUUGGAUUUUAUGUUGAGAUUCAACUAACAUUGUCAGUAUUGUCCUCCUAGGGAGUUAAAGUUGAGGGUGGUCUACGAUUUCAUCUUGAAGGGUUUUUGCUUAUUAUAUUUAAAUUUUUCUUUCUGGGAUUCAACCCUUGAUAAGCAUUGAGAAUUUUAGCUACUGGGUUCUUCUCUGUUUUUGUGUUCCUGGUUGGAUAUUGUUAUUAAAAGAGUGUAGGAGGAUAUGGAGCGGUUUGAGAGUGGGAAUAUUAUCCAGGAGGCUCCCUGUUAUGUUACUCAGGAUCUCUACCAAUUUGGAGUUAAUUCUUCAGGUUCAAUUCUUUUAGCUUUUUGGGUGUUCUUAUUUUUUGUUUUCACGAUUUGAUGUGAUGUGUUUUGCUGUUGUUGUGUGUUAUUUGGAUAUUGGGUGUGUUUUGUUGCUGAUAGAACAGAGUAGUAUGAAAUUUUGAAGCUUGAAUUGGGUAUUGAAGAAUUUAAUGCUUUAUUGCUUGGAACUAAAUGGAACAGUGUGGAGAGUUGGAUGUCUAGAGUGAAGGUUUUUAAUUUUCCUGGGUGUUGGGAUCAUUUUUGAUGGUGCUGUUUACGUAUAUAUGUUAACUGUUUGUUGCUUCAGUAUAAAUACAUGUAAAUACAUUAGUCUUUAUUGAGAACAGCAUAAUGCACAUGAUGACGUCGUCCUCAUGGUAUUUUCUGCAUAUGUAUACUUGAGUAGAAAUGGGCAGGUUGCAAGCACUUGAAGGAUAGACCAGGUCGAGAACAUAAGGAACCCAACAGUGAGUAAUAGGCCACCUUUUACCCAAUUUUUUCCUGCUGUAGUGGAUGGAAUAAUUGGACCCAUAAAGAGAACUACUACCAAUGCACCUGAUAUUGAUACUAAAGUGCCCAUGACUUUGGCUUGAGUGCUGCUGCUUUUGAAACUUAGCCUUUCCAUCCUAUUGAAUUGUAGGCAGCCAAAUGAAAAAAAAAAAACUCAUAUGUACUAAUUAGUCAGAGAUGAGACAUGAAGAAAAUAAGUGAAAACCUUUAACUGUUAGUUAUUUUUUACAGUGAGUUUUAAAGUUUAAAGUUUCUUUUCGGAUUUUGUUGUUCGCCCAGUGCAGAGAAAGAGAAGAGACGAAAUAAGUACGAGAGAGAGAGAGAGAGCUCUUACUCAAAACAAAACAAUUGUGUUGGUUUGUAAGUGAAACUAUAGUACUCUGCGUGAAAUUGUGUAUAUGUGUGUGACUUGAUCAAUUUGAGAUUCUUAAUAGCAGGUCCCUGUAUGUAUUUUGGUUAGAAAUAACAUAACUAUUCACUUCUGCUUCCUUCUAAUUGGUUUGAGAUAACAUGUCUAAUCACUUCUGCUUCCUUUAAAUUGGUUUGAGAUAAUGCAGUCAGUGAUUUAGCUGGUAUUCCUUGAGCUGCAACUUUUGAAUUGCCAUAAACAUUUAUUGGAGGAAUUGGUUUGGGUUUAUUUUGGGGUGUUGUUUAAUGAAAGCCAAUUAAGAACCCAGCCUUAUGACAGAUUUAGAUUGACUAUUUUUGUAGCUUGCAUUAUUUACUAUACAACUAAGUUUAGACAAUUAAGUGUUCUGGAUUUUGAUCAAAUACGACUAAAUGGAUCAAAUAUAAUUAAAUUUUGAUAUAUUUAAAAUUUGCUAUAUCAAAUAUAUUUUGAUAUAUUUAAAUGGAUCAAAUACGACAAUUAAGUAUCUUGCAGAACCCCCAACAAUUUGUUUUCUUUGUCUUUUCAAUAUAACAGUAUGUGCUCUUUAACGGAAAGUACAUAUAACUUUUAGUUACUAAUAUUCAGAACUGAGAAACUUUGUCUUUUAGUACUGCCAAUUCAAAACUGAAUGUUGUAACAGCAAUAUGCAGACUAUUUAAAACUAUUGACUAUGAGCAUAUUUAUAAACUUGCCAGAUGUUUAUGAUAAAAUUCUUUUCUUUGAUGAAUUUAGUACAUAAUGUGGACAAUCAUUUACUUUUCUAAGGUGUUAGCCUAUUUUGAAACUACAUUAUAAUGCAUAUACACUUAUUAUAUGUCUUAAAGUGUUCCCUAUCAGGUUAUCACUAUUAUAUACCAAAUGAGUUCAUUGCUGUUUUCUUUUUUGUAUUUACUUUAUACAUAACUAACUGAUAAAUUUACUGUUUGUAUUAUCAGCUAUACUUGAACCAUUGAAUCAACUUUUGUCACCAGAGGUGAUCAACUUGAUUUUAUGCAAAAAAGUGUACGUAUCAUUGCAGUGCCACUGUUCCUUGGUCUGCUGUUUAUCGUUGUCUCCAUCUUUUAUUCUUAUUCAGAUUUUGGGAACAGUGUGCUGUCGGAUAGUUUAAUUUUCUGCAAUUCAGGAAGCAGCUUUUUGGACAACCUCCACAGCUAAUCAUCACUAGGCUAACAACUUCUCAGCAACUAAUGUCACUUUUGGUAGACAUCGACAUCUCUUUUUGGUACCCAAAUGAAGCAACGAUUGUAACUAGGUUAGCCUAGGACAAUAUAUUUUUGAUAAGCUGUUUUAACAGCAGUUGUAAUAUAUAUUUGAACAUUACGCGAACAUCUAUAUUAAUGGUAAUGUUAGUCAAGCAAGAUCUAUGUUAGUUUCGAACUAAAUUCUCUGUCCUUUAAGACUUGCACAUUUUCUUCC